GACGAACGCUGGCGGCGUGCUUAACACAUGCAAGUCGAACGGAAAGGCCUGCUUUCCCUUGUGGAUUGCGGGUACUCGAGUGGCGAACGGGUGAGUAACACGUGAGUGAUCUGCCCCCAACUUGGGUAUAAGCCUGGGAAACUGGGUCUAAUUCCCGAUAGGACUGCAGGGUGGUGCCUGUGGUGGAAAACGAUUUUCUAGUGGUUGGGGAUGAGCUCGCGGCCUAUCAGCUUGUUGGUGGGGUAAUGGCCUACCAAGGCGGCGACGGGUAGCCGGCCUGAGAGGGUGGACGGCCACAUUGGGACUGAGAUACGGCCCAGACUCCUACGGGAGGCAGCAGUGGGGAAUAUUGCACAAUGGGCGGAAGCCUGAUGCAGCGACGCCGCGGGGGGGAUGACGGCCUUCGGGUGGUAAACUCCUUUCGACCGCGAGGAAGCCACCUGGUUGGAAGGGUGGUGACGGUAGUGGUAGAAGAAGCACCGGCUAACUACGUG
rnacentral:rRNA from 1 species